rnacentral:rRNA from 1 species
UACGGAGGGUGCGAGCGUUGUCCGGAAUCACUGGGCGUAAAGGGCGCGUAGGCGGCUUUUUAAGGGUGCGGUGAAAGCCCGGGGCUUAACCCCGGAAUUGCACCUCAAACUACAUGGCUAGAGCAUUGGAGAGGGUAGCAGAAUUCAUGGUGUAGCAGUGAAAUGCGUAGAUAUCAUGAGGAAUACCAGAGGCGAAGGCGGCUACCUGGACAAUUGCUGACGCUCAGGCACGAAAGCGUGGGGAGCAAAAGGG